UACGUAGGUGGCAAGCGUUGUCCGGAUUUAUUGGGCGUAAAGCGCGCGUAGGCGGCCGCUUAAGUCGGAUGUGAAAGCCCCUGGCUCAACUGGGGAAGUGCACCCGAAACUGAGUGGCUUGAGUACUAAAGAGGGUCGCGGAAUUCCCGGUGUAGAGGUGAAAUUCGUAGAUAUCGGGAGGAACACCGGUGGCGAAGGCGGCGACCUGGGUAGAUACUGACGCUGAGGCGCGAAAGCGUGGGGAGCAAACAGG
rnacentral:rRNA from 1 species